AACGCACCUUGCGCUCCUUGGUAUUCCGAGGAGCAUGCCUGUUUGAGUGUCAUUAAAUUCUCAACUAUUAUCAGCUUUUGCUGAUGAUGGCUUGGAUAUGGGGGUUUAUUUUGCUGGCUUCACAGAAUGUCAGCUCCCCUUAAAUGCAUUAGCCGGUGCCCCGCGUGGACUGUCUAUUGGUGUGAUAAUUAUCUACGCCGUGGACAUCAUCUACAAUCAUAUGGGUUUGCGCUGCUUCCAACCGUCUGUUUACUCGGACAAUACAUGACAAUUUGACCUCAAAUCAGGUAGGACUACCCGCUGAACUUAA
rnacentral:misc_RNA from 1 species